rnacentral:misc_RNA from 1 species
UACGAGGGCCCCGAGCGUUAUCCGGAUUUAUUGGGCGUAAAGCGCACGUAGGAGGUCAAACGCGUCUUUUGUUAAAUUCCAUGGCUCAACUGUGGAGCUGCAGGGGAAACGGUUUGACUAGAGGAUACCAGAGGUUAAUGGAGCGCAUGGUGUAGGGGUGAAAUCCGUUGAUAUCAUGCGAAACACCGAAGGCGAAGGCAGUUAACUGGGGUAUUCCUGACUCUAAGGUGCGAAAGCGUGGGGAGCAAAAAGG